rnacentral:rRNA from 1 species
ACAGCAGCCGCCGCGGUAAUACGUAGGUGGCAAGCGUUGUCCGGAAUUAUUGGGCGUAAAGGGCUCGCAGGCGGUUUCUUAAGUCUGAUGUGAAAGCCCCCGGCUCAACCGGGGAGGGUCAUUGGAAACUGGGAAACUUGAGUGCAGAAGAGGAGAGUGGAAUUCCACGUGUAGCGGUGAAAUGCGUAGAGAUGUGGAGGAACACCAGUGGCGAAGGCGACUCUCUGGUCUGUAGCUGACGCUGAGGAGCGAAAGCGUGGGGAGCGAACAGGAUUAGAUACCCCCGUAGUCCCUGUCUCUUAUAC